AUUGAACGCUGGUGGCAUGCUUUACACAUGCAAGUCGAACGGUAACAGGUUAAGCUGACGAGUGGCGAACGGGUGAGUAAUGCAUCGGAACGUGCCCGGUCGUGGGGGAUAACGCAGCGAAAGCUGCGCUAAUACCGCAUACGAUCUGAGGAUGAAAGCGGGGGACCGUAAGGCCUCGCGCGAUCGGAGCGGCCGAUGUCAGAUUAGGUAGUUGGUGGGGUAAAGGCUCACCAAGCCAACGAUCUGUAGCUGGUCUGAGAGGACGACCAGCCACACUGGGACUGAGACACGGCCCAGACUCCUACGGGAGGCAGCAGUGGGGAAUUUUGGGCAAUGGGCGAAAGCCUGAUCCAGCAAUGCCGCGUGCAGGAAGAAGGCCUUCGGGUUGUAAACUGCUUUUGUACGGAGCGAAAAGGUCUCCUCUAAUACAGGGGGCUCAUGACGGUACCGUAAGAAUAAGCACCGGCUAACUACGUGCCAGCAGCCGCGGUAA
rnacentral:rRNA from 1 species